CGAAGGGUGCUAGCGUUGUUCGGAAUCACUGGGCGUAAAGCGCGCGUAGGCGGCUUUGCAAGUCAGGGGUGAAAUGCCACAGCUCAACUGUGGAACUGCCUUUGAAACUGCAAAGCUAGAGUGUCGGAGGGGAUAGCGGAAUUCCUAAUGUAGAGGUGAAAUUCGUAGAUAUUAGGAGGAACACCGGUGGCGAAGGCGGCUAUCUGGACGACAACUGACGCUUAGGCGCGAAAGUGCGGGGAUCAAACGGGAUUAGAUACCCUGGUAGUCCGCACUGUAAACGACGGAUGCUAGCCGUUGGGGGGUUACCCUUCAGUGGCGCAGCUAACGCGUUAAGCAUCCCGCCUGGGGAGUACGGUCGCAAGAUUA
rnacentral:rRNA from 1 species